UUCUCUCUCCAAUUUAUAAUUAUCUCAAAACAAAAAAUGUUCUCACUCAUCCAAUUCCCUUCUUCUAUUGUUCUUCAAUUUUCAUUCCCCCGUUUCUCUCUUUAUAUGUGACGUUUUUUCGAUUAUUUUUAGAAAUUGAUAAAAAUCUCCCAAAAAAUAUUCACAACAAUCUCAUUAAUUUUAGGAUCAACGGCUAGAAAGCUGGAAGAAAGCAGAUCUAAGCAUCUACAUGACCUUUUCCGUAUGCAAAACCUUCCUCAAUUACAGAAUAUAAACAUCAUCAAGAGCAAGGACACAUACAAUGAAAAUAAAAGGAAACGAUAGGCUCUUCGUCUUUACGUGCAUAUGUAUUCCCUUGUUCCCUUUCAAAUUUAUAUAAUCUAAAAAUAUAAUAAGUAUUUCCUUUUGUGAAAAAAAUUACUUAUGUUUGGAUACAACUCAUAACUAAACUAAAGUGUAUUGAUCACAGUUUUUCGUUGGUUUUAUACAUAAAUUUUGUAUUCAUUCUAACUGUAUGCCAUCAAAUUUUAUAAUCUUAUCUUCAUUUUGUUUUCGUACUAUGAAUUGGAUACAACUUCUGUAGUU